AGUCUUAUAUUCAAUUAUGAUUUUGAAUUGCAAAUUCAAAGGUGAAGAUUUUUCUAAGGCUU
rnacentral:tRNA from 1 species